CUAGGUCACCGAUCACACAUCCUGAACACACCCAUACCCUCAAUGUAUAUAUAAUAGCACACCAGUAGUAUCCCUGCAUCACCAGAAGACAAUACACAGUGCAUCAUCCAGGAAAAAAGUUAGACCUCCCAGUUAAACAUGACACGAACAAUCACAUUGCUGCUGAUAUCCCUAGGUGUGCUCCUUGCUCUGGUAACAGCACAAUCAAUAGAUGACUGUACAGAUGGCAAAGUAUAUAAUCCUUGUGGAACCGCCUGUCCACCAACCUGCGAUAACCCGAAUCCUAUAUGCAUUGAAAAGUGUGUUUCAGGUUGUUUCUGCCCAAAGGGCA